rnacentral:rRNA from 1 species
CCCGCACAAGCGGUGGAGCAUGUGGUUUAAUUCGACGCUACGCGAAGAACCUUACCUGGGCUUGAACUGCUGGUGGUAGAAGCCCGAAAGGGUAACGACCCGGAGCAAUCCGGGAGCCAGUAGAGGUGCUGCAUGGCUGUCGUCAGCUCGUGUCGUGAGAUGUUGGGUUAAGUCCCGCAACGAGCGCAACCCUUACCCUUAGUUGCCAGCGGGUAAUGCCGGGCACUCUAAGGGGACCGCCCCGGAUAACGGGGAGGAAGGCGGGAUGACGUCAAGUCAGCAUGGCCUUUAUGUCCAGGGCUACACACGUGCUACAAUGGGCGAUACAGGGGGAAGCAAGGCCGCAAGGUAGAGCUAAUCCCUAAAGUCGCCCUCAGUUCGGAUUGCAGGCUGCAACUCGCCUGCAUGAAGUCGGAAUCGCUAGUAAUCGCGGAUCAGCUACGCCGCGGUGAAUACGUUCUCGGGCCUU